CGAAUAGCUCAUUACAACAGCCGUUGUUUCUUGGAUCUCUUCUCUACUUGGAUAACUGUGGUAAUUCUAGAGCUAAUACAUGCAAUCAAGCUCCGAUCGUAAGUGACGAGCGCACUUAUUAGACCAAAGCCAUCCGGCCUCUGGCCGUUCUUUGGUGACUCUGAAUAACCUAGCAGAUCGCAUGGGCUUGUCCCGGCGACAAAUCUUUCAAGUGUCUGCCUUAUCAACUUUCGAUGGUAGUUUAUGUGACUACCAUGGUUGUGACGGGUAACGGAGGAUCAGGGUCUGACUCCGGAGAGGGAGCCUGAGAAACGGCUACCACUUCUAAGGAAGGCAGCAGGCGCGCAAAUUACCCAUUCUCAGAACGAGGAGGUAGUGACGAAAAAUACCAAGGUGAGGCUCAUUGAGUUUCGCCAUUGGAAUGAGAACAACCUAAAUCCUUUAACGAGGAUCUAGUGGAGGGCAAGUCUGGUGCCAGCAGCCGCGGUAAUUCCAGCUCCGCAAGUGUAUUCCUAUACUGUUGCGGUUAAAAAGCUCGUAGUUGGAUCUGAGUGUUUAGCGCUUGGUGCAGUUCUGCUGUUACUGAGUGCGGCACAUAAUCGCCAAUUGGUUGCCAUUGUUGCCUUAACUGGUGAUGGUGGUUGACUGUUGGCAUGUUUACUUUGAACAAAUCAGAGUGCUCAAUACGGGCGUUUCGCUUGUAUGGUCUUGCAUGGAAUAAUAGAAUAGGACCUUGGUUCUAUUUUGUUKKUUUUCGGAAUYGAGGUAAUGAUUAAGAGGGACAGACGGGGGCAUUCGUACUGCAACGUGAGAGGUGAAAUUCUUGGAUCGUUGCAAGACGAACUACUGCGA
rnacentral:rRNA from 1 species